rnacentral:rRNA from 1 species
UACGUAGGGCGCAAGCGUUGUCCGGAAUUAUUGGGCGUAAAGAGCUCGUAGGCGGCUUGUCACGUCGAUUGUGAAAGCCCGAGGCUUAACCUCGGGUCUGCAGUCGAUACGGGCUAGCUAGAGUGUGGUAGGGGAGAUCGGAAUUCCUGGUGUAGCGGUGAAAUGCGCAGAUAUCAGGAGGAACACCGGUGGCGAAGGCGGAUCUCUGGACGGUAACUGACGCUGAGGCACGAAAGCGUGGGGAGCAAACAGG